UCUAUUUUUUUUUUCUCCUAAAGAAGCUUUGCCAACUUGUUUUCUCUCAAAAGAAAUACAGAGUCUAACUACUGACCCAGCAGUUAGCUGUGUCCUCCUGUACAGUGUGUACAGUACUCCUCCACCCCAGGAGUGCUGUUUUUACUGGGCCCUGCCUUGCCGUGUGCUGGCUCAAACUCUCCUCAUCAGGCUCUGUGACAAUUAGCCACGCAUGGGCCUAUGUUCUUAGGCUUGCUGCCAGAUCAUUCCCUUCAGCUGAACUGAGAAGAAUAGAGGAAGAAAACAGCAACAGUCAUAAACCAUCAAUGACAGAACACUGGGCAGUUCCUUCUUCCUGAUGCCACCUUUCUUCCAGGAACAUGUCUACCACUUGUGGAUGGUGAGUGCUCCAGUCACAGCCGAUGUGCUGCGUAUGGUUGCGUGGUCUCAGCUUCUAUUGCUAGCAGUCCUCCAAGAGGGCCAUACUUAAGGUAAGGAAAAGCGGGAGUGCACAUUGGUCCAUGGUCCCGUUUCAUUCCCUGCACUAUGACCUGUUCCAACAACCACGCCAUGCCAAUGGAUCGGCCUGGGAAGAUCUCUUGGUUUGUGUUUGCAGACACUGCUAUUUUCAACGUGCUGUGGGAGAAGGAUGCCAGACCUAUACAUCCUGAUCCAAGAGACUGAAUGUUACCAGAAGCCUCCAAACCAAGGAGUCCAUCAGAUUUUAAAGGUGAUACAUGAAAUAAAGGCCUGCAGCAGCUACUGCAGUCAACAAAUCUCCAAUUUGUGGGUGCAAGAAUGAAACAAAAUCCAGCUCCUGGUGACAAUGAAUGUGUUCAGCACAACUUUCUGCACUCUCACAUUGCUGGAGCCGUUGCUUGAAAAGCAAAAACUUCCUCAAACUAACCCCAAGUGGCCUUGCUCUGGGUACAUGGAACCAAACAGAACCUGGCCAUGACUCUCUGCUCUUUCUCUGGGAACAUGGGUGGAUGGAGAAGAGCACCCAAGGGACACUGCCUCCUUGCCUCUUAGGAGAGAGCUGACCUGGUGAAGAAGCUGAAGUGCUGAGGGGUAAAGUGACCAGUGUGAAGUGGCAGAGCUGAAGGAAAACCCAGGCCUCCUGAGGGAGCAUCUAUGUACAAAACAGAAGAGAAAGAAGGAGGCACUGCUUGCCCACUUGCCCAUCUGGUUCCUUCCCUUGGCAAGGUGUGAUUGCUUGCUACAGCAUUUCUAUUGCUUUUUCCAUUCUAGUAUAAAAUACCUCUUGUGAUUGAAUUGUUACUGCUUGACUUGUCUGUUUAGACUAUGACUUGGCAAAUCUCACUGUCCAAGAAGUUCUUCAGAAUUCAGCCUAAG